UUCAUGGGGUCAUUCCCAAGAAUGCCAUGGGAUCUGGCUGCUGACAAUGUACUGCUGUCCCCUUUUUUGGAAACUGCCUAGGGCCAAUGGGAGCCCCUUUGACGGAAGUGCCUGGGAAGUGAGGCACCCCCACAAGGGGCAGCCCACAGCCAAUGGCUGACCAACCCAGCAGAUGGAGAAACGUUCUCAUGAGUGCGCAGUCUCUGUGACGCCAGUGUCUGAGUAGAAGUGGCCUCCAAUCAAGUCCCGGUUUUGCCAUUUGAUGGUUGUUUCACUUUGGGUUAGAUUACCUAGCCUCACUGAGCCUUAUGAUCUCGAUCCCCCAGAUGGAGAAGCCCUGGUGUUUCUCUCUUGUGAUGAUUAAAUUAGAGAAGACAUGUUUGUGUUUACACUGCAGCCUGCAGUCCUAUAAGGGCACACAAUGGCUAUGGCUACAAUGGAUGUGACACUUUGACAAGAGUGAGGCCCGCUGUUGACUGGAGGCUUCUGAGCCUGCGACUUACCUCAUCGAAGUCAGCAAUGAUCUCAUUCAGCAGACGCAGGCAUUCCACUCCCUGGUUAUUCAUCUCAGUCUGAGAGUAAAAGUCUGCAAACCCCGGGAUGGAGGCGAACAUCACCCCAACGGCAUCAUAAGAUUGGGAAUACAGCUCCUGGAUGGGGAGAGACAGAGAGGAUGCCAGACACAGUCGUGAGAGGUUUCACUCCCGUCUCGGACCUCCAGCCUAAGUGGAAAGAAUCACCACACAGAUAUUGCUCAUGUCUUCGGGGACACCUCUGCAGGUUGGUGUGGUCACUGCCCCCAAGUCCACGAGUCUCUUGACCUUCCUUGUUUCAGCGAUGAGGUAAUUGUUGUC